rnacentral:sRNA from 12 species
GUAAAAAUAAGAAUUUUAUCGAUAUUGCUCGUGUAGUCGAGAACUGCCAAGUGGCAGCAA